CUGCAAAUACAAUUAUGAUUGUAAACAAUGUCAUUUAAGUUUAUAUACCAAAUAAUUUUAAGCCAUUGAUCAUUUGCAACCAUACAUGAUUUGAUAUAGAUCAUCAACAUUUCCGAUAUCGAAAAUUUAAUGAAAUUUUAUACCUGUUUAUGAGUUAUGUUCUAGCAGUAAGUGAAUGGGUAGCUCGCCAUGAUUCGUCAAAUACUGAACUGAAAUUCCAAAAUAAAAUGGUGACUUAUCUGCCUACCCUCUUAAUUUUUUCUAGUCAAUGUGAAAGGAAUAUAUAAUAGGAAUUUAAAUGAUUUUUAACUUAAAACAGACAAGGUAAAACAUUUAGAGCUUGUUUGGGGUGAUUUUUCAUCCAAGAAGUUUGAUUUUUUUACCGUUAUUUCACUAUUCCAACUGUAAAAUUCUUUCACAGGUGGCCCCACUUUUCUCAUAACGGUCACAAAAUCAAUUCUCAAAAUCACUCCCAAACGGGGCCUUAAAAAGUUUAGAAAUUAUAGCAGUACUUUAAAGGAAAUUUUUUCCUGUUAGUAGCAGUUCUCAUUCAGUCAUUUGAUCAAUAAAUUGAGCUGCAGGAAAAAGUGAAUGGCCUUAGUUCUGAUUAUAAACAAUUUCGUGGGAAGUCAUAUACCAAAAAUUGGUAAGCCAUUUGUCAUCUUGCAGCCAUACAUAUGAUCUUUGAUCCCUCGUUUAUUUGGAGAUGAUCACCAUUAUCCCACAUCGAAACUUCAGUAAAAGAUAAACGGUUUUAUAAUGUAAAUUCUACCAGUAGCAUAACGGGCAGCAGAUAAGACAUCCAAAAACCUCAAAAAUUCAACCCGAUGAAUUCUCUGUCUGCCCUUUUUUCCCUUUUUGAGUGAAUGCAUCUAUCUGUAAUGAGGAAGAAGAACGGUUCAAGCCAGAUAUCAGCUGGAGGAAGAAGAAGGAAAGAAGCAAACGGCAUUUAAAUGGUGAAAGGGACGACGCCGUUUC
rnacentral:lncRNA from 1 species